GUGUUGCUUCAGCAGCACAUACACCAAAAUUGGAACAAUUCAGAGAAGAUGAGCAUGGCCCCUGUUCAAGGAUGACACGCAAAUUUGUAAAGAGUUGCAUAUUUUU